CAAGUCGUACGCUUCUUUUUCCCCGGAGCUUGCUCCACCGGAAAAAGAAGAGUGGCGAACGGGUGAGUAACACGUGGGUAACCUGCCCAUCAGAAGGGGAUAACACUUGGAAACAGGUGCUAAUACCGUAUAACAAUCGAAACCGCAUGGUUUUGAUUUGAAAGGCGCUUUCGGGUGUCGCUGAUGGAUGGACCCGCGGUGCAUUAGCUAGUUGGUGAGGUAACGGCUCACCAAGGCUACGAUGCAUAGCCGACCUGAGAGGGUGAUCGGCCACAUUGGGACUGAGACACGGCCCAAACUCCUACGGGAGGCAGCAGUAGGGAAUCUUCGGCAAUGGACGAAAGUCUGACCGAGCAACGCCGCGUGAGUGAAGAAGGUUUUCGGAUCGUAAAACUCUGUUGUUAGAGAAGAACAAGGAUGAGAGUAACUGUUCAUCCCUUGACGGUAUCUAACCAGAAAGCCACGGCUAACUACGUGCCAGCAGCCGCGGUAAUACGUAGGUGGCAAGCGUUGUCCGGAUUUAUUGGGCGUAAAGCGAGCGCAGGCGGUUUCUUAAGUCUGAUGUGAAAGCCCCCGGCUCAACCGGGGAGGGUCAUUGGAAACUGGGAGACUUGAGUGCAGAAGAGGAGAGUGGAAUUCCAUGUGUAGCGGUGAAAUGCGUAGAUAUAUGGAGGAACACCAGUGGCGAAGGCGGCUCUCUGGUCUGUAACUGACGCUGAGGCUCGAAAGCGUGGGGAGCAAACAGGAUUAGAUACCCUGGUAGUCCACGCCGUAAACGAUGAGUGCUAAGUGUUGGAGGGUUUCCGCCCUUCAGUGCUGCAGCUAACGCAUUAAGCACUCCGCCUGGGGAGUACGACCGCAAGGUUGAAACUCAAAGGAAUUGACGGGGGCCCGCACAAGCGGUGGAGCAUGUGGUUUAAUUCGAAGCAACGCGAAGAACCUUACCAGGUCUUGACAUCCUUUGACCACUCUAGAGAUAGAGCUUCCCCUUCGGGGGCAAAGUGACAGGUGGUGCAUGGUUGUCGUCAGCUCGUGUCGUGAGAUGUUGGGUUAAGUCCCGCAACGAGCGCAACCCUUAUUGUUAGUUGCCAUCAUUCAGUUGGGCACUCUAGCAAGACUGCCGGUGACAAACCGGAGGAAGGUGGGGAUGACGUCAAAUCAUCAUGCCCCUUAUGACCUGGGCUACACACGUGCUACAAUGGGAAGUACAACGAGUCGCGAAGUCGCGAGGCUAAGCUAAUCUCUUAAAGCUUCUCUCAGUUCGGAUUGUAGGCUGCAACUCGCCUACAUGAAGCCGGAAUCGCUAGUAAUCGCGGAUCAGCACGCCGCGGUGAAUACGUUCCCGGGCCUUGUACACACCGCCCGUCACACCACGAGAGUUUGUAACACCCGAAGUCGGUGAG
rnacentral:rRNA from 1 species